AUGCCUUCCUGUUGCAAUGCCCCACAACAGAACAUAGAACACAUAGAACCACAUGCCUUCCUGUUGCAAUGCCCCACAACAGAACAUAGAACACAUAGAACCACAUGCCUUCCUGUUGCANNNNNNNNNNUUUUUCGGCUUGCAAGCCUCCACCAAGCUUGCAAGCCGAAAAACACCAUCCCAACCGUGAAGCACGGGUGUGGCAGCAUCAUGUUGUGGGGGUGCUUUGCUGCAGGAGGGACUGGUGCACUUCACAAAACAGAUGGCAUCAUGAGGAGGGACAAUUAUGUGGAUAUAUUGAAGCAACAUCUCAAGACAUCAGUUAAAGCUUGGUUGCAAAUGGACAAUGACCCCAAGCAUACUUCCAAAGUUGUGGUAAAAUAGCUUAAGGACAACAAAGUCAAGGUAUUGGAGUGGCCAUCACAAAGCCCUGACCUCAAUCCUAUAGAACAUUUGUGGGCAGAACUGAAAAAGCAUGUGCGAGCAAGGAGGCCUACAAACCUGACUCAGUUACACCAGCCCUGUCAGGAGGAAUGGGCCAAAAUUCACUCAACUCAUUGUGGGAAGCUUAUGGAAGGAUACCAAUUUAAUUUAGAGGCAAUGCUACCAAAUACUAUUAUUCUGACAUUUCACAUUCUUAAAAUAAAGUGGUGAUCCUAACUGACCAAAGACAGGGAAUUUUUACUAGGAUUAAAUGUCAGGAAUUGUGAAAAACUGAGUUUAAAUUUAUUUGGCUAAGGUGUAUGUAUAGAUGUGUGUAUGUAUGUGUGUGUAGAGAGACAGAGAGAGAUAGCCCUGUUUAGUGAUUUCCCAUGACUACAAAUCAGACAAUAUGAAGCGAAACACAGAGGAUGAAAAGGUUUCUUUAAAACAGCUACUCGCUGGGGAUAACAGAAUAAUAAUGUCUCCUUUUGAUAUUGGUUGUGCUUCUCACUGCGACCGGUUCUACUGACAGCGUCUAUAAGAAACAGGUGUUGGUGACAUGCGGUUGCUGAUUAAUCUACCAUAGUAUAGCCUACUUCUCCACAUCAUGAGUAAGCAUUUCACGCUAAGGUCUCUACACCUGUUGUAUUCAGCAUUUCACGCUAAGGUCUCUACACCUGUUGUAUUCAGCAUUUCACGGUAAGGUCUCUACACCUGUUGUAUUCAGCAUUUCACACUAAGGUCUCUACACCUGUUGUAUUCAGCGCAGGUGACAAAUAACAUUUGAUGUCUCAAUGCCUUUCUCAGCUCUACAGAAAACCAGAUGGUGGAUCUGAUGUUUGGCUGAAAUUAAGAAUUUAAGGACUGUGCCUUUAAAAGCCACUUUUUGAGUCUGAUCAAGAACCCAAGAUCCACCCGAGAACAACUCUAGUCUGGAGUCAAGAAGUCCAAAACAGCUUAUAGAUUCUAAUGAAAUAAGCCAAGUGGCGAGCUGACCAGCUAGCUAUGUAGCUAGCUAUGUACUCUGUCUGCCCUGAUUUGCCGUGGAGUGACCCUUCAAUCAUGAGGUGGGAGGGAGCCUGCUGCCUUGUGAGUGUGUGUGUGUGUGUGUAUAAACAGCUAUGUGCACUGGGACACCUGUGAAGAUGGCUGAGUAAUGCUUUAUUCAACACAGUAAAACCCUGGAUCUCCUGCUACUACUCAUGUUAUGUUAUAAAUAUAUGUAAUUUCAUAUCAUUUUAUAAACAUAUGUCAUUUCAUUUUAUAAAUAUACAGUGGGGCAAAAAAGUAUUUAGUUAGCCACCAAUUGUGCAGGUUCUCCCACUUAAAAAGAUGAGAGGCCUGUAAUUUUCAUCAUAGGUACACUUCAACUAUGACAGACAAAAUGAGGGGAAAACAUCCAGAAAAUCACAUUGUAGGAUUUUUAAUGAAUUUAUUUGCAAAUUACGGUGGAAAAUAAGUAUUUGGUCACCUACAAACAAGCAAGAUUUCUGGCUCUCACAGACCUGUAACUUCUUCUUUAAGAGGCUCUUCUGUCCUCCACUCGUUACCUGUAUUAAUGGCACCUGUUUGAACUUGUUAUCAGUAUAAAAGACACCUGUCCACAACAUCAAACA
rnacentral:lncRNA from 13 species